rnacentral:rRNA from 1 species
GAUGAACGCUAGCGGCAGGCUUAACACAUGCAAGUCGAGGGGUAUUGGUUUUCGGACCAAGAGACCGGCGCACGGGUGCGUAACGCGUAUGCAAUCUACCUUUUGCAGAGGGAUAGCCCCAGAGAAAUUUGGAUUAAUACCUCAUAGUAUAGUACUUUGGCAUCAAGGAACUAUUAAAGUCACAACGGCAAAGAUGAGCAUGCGUCCCAUUAGCUAGUUGGUAAGGUAACGGCUUACCAAGGCUACGAUGGGUAGGGGUCCUGAGAGGGAGAUCCCCCACACUGGUACUGAGACACGGACCAGACUCCUACGGGAGGCAGCAGUGAGGAAUAUUGGACAAUGGGCGCAAGCCUGAUCCAGCCAUGCCGCGUGCAGGAUGACGGUCCUAUGGAUUGUAAACUGCUUUUAUACAGGAAGAAACACUCCGACGUGUCGGAGCUUGACGGUACUGUAAGAAUAAGGAUCGGCUAACUCCGUGCCAGCAGCCGCGG